AGAGUUUGAUCCUGGCUCAGGACGAACGCUGGCGGCGUGCUUAACACAUGCAAGUCGAACGGAAAGGCCCUUCGGGGUACUCGAGUGGCGAACGGGUGAGUAACACGUGGGUGAUCUGCCCUGCACUUUGGGAUAAGCCUGGGAAACUGGGUCUAAUACCGGAUAUACCUCAUGGACUGCAUGGUUUGUGGGGGAAAGCUUUUGCGGUGUGGGAUGGGCCCGCGGCCUAUCAGCUUGUUGGUGGGGUAAUGGCCUACCAAGGCGACGACGGGUAGCCGGCCUGAGAGGGUGACCGGCCACACUGGGACUGAGAUACGGCCCAGACUCCUACGGGAGGCAGCAGUGGGGAAUAUUGCACAAUGGGCGCAAGCCUGAUGCAGCGACGCCGCGUGAGGGAUGACGGCCUUCGGGUUGUAAACCUCUUUCAGCACAGACGAAGCGCAAGUGACGGUAUGUGCAGAAGAAGGACCGGCCAACUACGUGCCAGCAGCCGCGGUAAUACGUAGGGUCCGAGCGUUGUCCGGAAUUACUGGGCGUAAAGAGCUCGUAGGUGGUUUGUCGCGUUGUUCGUGAAAACUCACAGCUUAACUGUGGGCGUGCGGGCGAUACGGGCAGACUUGAGUACUGCAGGGGAGACUGGAAUUCCUGGUGUAGCGGUGGAAUGCGCAGAUAUCAGGAGGAACACCGGUGGCGAAGGCGGGUCUCUGGGCAGUAACUGACGCUGAGGAGCGAAAGCGUGGGGAGCGAACAGGAUUAGAUACCCUGGUAGUCC
rnacentral:rRNA from 1 species